UAACGCUCGCGCUCUGUCCGCAAAUCCUUUGAUGAUGCCUUUUUUCAUGAUGAAAAAAGGCAUCAUCAAAGGAUUUGCGGACAGAGCGCGAGCGUUAUUUUUGA
rnacentral:miRNA from 1 species